rnacentral:rRNA from 1 species
GACGAACGCUGGCGGCGUGCUUAACACAUGCAAGUCGAACGGAAAGGCCCUGCUUUUGUGGGGUGCUCGAGUGGCGAACGGGUGAGUAACACGUGAGUAACCUGCCCUUGACUUUGGGAUAACUUCAGGAAACUGGGGCUAAUACCGGAUAGGAGCUCCUGCUGCAUGGUGGGGGUUGGAAAGUUUCGGCGGUUGGGGAUGGACUCGCGGCUUAUCAGCUUGUUGGUGGGGUAGUGGCUUACCAAGGCUUUGACGGGUAGCCGGCCUGAGAGGGUGACCGGCCACAUUGGGACUGAGAUACGGCCCAGACUCCUACGGGAGGCAGCAGUGGGGAAUAUUGCACAAUGGGCGGAAGCCUGAUGCAGCAACGCCGCGUGCGGGAUGACGGCCUUCGGGUUGUAAACCGCUUUCGCCCGUGACGAAGCGUGAGUGACGGUAAUGGGGAAAGAAGCACCGGCUAACUACGU